UACGGGGUGGGCGAGCGUUGCCCGGAAUUACUGGGUUUAAAGGGGGUGUAGGCGGUCCGGAGAGUCAGGUGUGUAAUCCAACCGCUCAACGGUUGGGCUGCACCUGAUACUUCCGGGCUAGAGGGCGGUAGAGGAGAGCGGAACUCCCGGUGUAGCGGUGAAAUGCGUAGAUAUCGGGAGGAACGCCGGUGGCGAAGGCGGCUCUCUGGGCCGUUCCUGACGCUGAGGCCCGAAAGCUGGGGGAGCGAAAGGGAUUAGAUACCCCUGUAGUCCCAGCUGUAAACGAUGGGCACUAGGUGUUCCCCCGCGAGGGGGAGUGCCGACGGGAAACCAUUAAGUGCCCCACCUGGGGAGUACGCCCGCAAGGGUGAAACUCAAAGGAAUUGACGGGGGCCCGCACAAGCGGUGGAGCGCGUGGUUUAAUUCGACGCUAAGCGAAGAACCUUACCUGGGCUUGACAUGCUGGUGGUACCCUGGUGGAAACACUGGGGGACUCCCCGUUGAGGGGAGAGCCAGCACAGGUGCUGCACGGCUGUCGUCAGCUCGUGCCGUGAGGUGUUGGGUUAAGUCCCGCAACGAGCGCAACCCCUGCCCUUAGUUGCCACAGCAUCCAUGAGGUGGCUGGGCACUCUAAGGGGACUGCCGCCGAUGAGGCGGAGGAAGGUGGGGAUGACGUCAAGUCCGUGUGGCCUUUAUGUCCAGGGCUACACACGCGCUACAAUGGGUGGUACAAUGGGCUUUGCGACCCCGCGAGGGGGAGCGAAUCCCAGAAAACCACCCCCAGUUCGGAUUGGGGUCUGCAACCCGACCCCAUGAAGACGGAAUCGCUAGUAAUCGCCUAUCAGCAUGGGGCGGUGAAUACGUUCCCGGGCCUUGUACACACCGCCCGUCACGCCAUGGGAGCCGGGGGCACCUGAAGUCGCUGGCCCAACCCCCGUAAGGGGGAGGGAGGCGCCUAGGGUGAAACCGGUGACUGGGGCG
rnacentral:rRNA from 1 species